CUUCACGCUGCGCAAGCCUCUACUAGUUGAGGCAGCACUGCUAAACGUUCACAUACAAAUAUAAUCUGACCUUAGUGGCAGCCACAUCACAGACUAAACUUUGAAGUCUUUAAUUGGUGAGGAGGCUAACUGCCCUCUUUCAAGGAGUGGGUUAGGUAGAUGGUUUAUUUAGUUCUCAUGUCUUUGAUUUUGAAUCCAAAACGCUGGCACAGCCCAUUUCCGCCACUUUUGGCACAAAAUACUAGAACUUACUGAGGUAAGACUACACAGAGUAAGUUGAUGCUCUAAAAUUGAGGCAAAGGAACUUCCAUCUCCCUUACAGUCUCACAGGCUUAUGAACUGUAUGUUGCAAUUAAACGUGAGUGGAAUUUAAGUCCUGUAUGUAUAGACAGAACAAAUGGAGUAAGAAAACUUCUCAGAGAGAUGUUUCUUUUCCAGGCAGGUGGUACCACCCUGAAGAGUUCAGUUAGGAUAUUUUGUGUAUAUAGGUGUGGUUUGUGGGGUUUUACUUGGUCUGUUUGUUUGCUUGUUUGAGGGAAGAGUCAAAGAAGGAGUGAGGAAAUUAAGACACCUACAGUGUAACUACAUUUAGUCCUCAGCACUGGCUACAAACUGCCUGUGAGAAACAGGAAAAAAAAGUCUUCCACUGGAUGGGAAAUAGGGAGACCAACAGCAGUAAGUACAGCUCCAUGUAAAGUACUACACUAAACCAUAUGCAGAUAAAUUGGUUGCUACUCUGCCACAUCUGCCUGUGUUUUUACAAACAUGAGGACAGAGUUAACUGUGCUAACAGUUAGGACCUGAUGCUCAGUCUAUGCAGAGCUGUAAAUGCUGCCCUGAGCACUGUCACAGGAUGCACUGGGAGCAACAAACUCAUUACGUGACAAAACCACAACAAUCCUGUUCUGAGACAACUUCAGUAAAGACUCAGGGAGAUGAAAACAGAGGACUGGAGCCAACCCAAGAUCUGCACCUGUUCUGUGCCAGCAGCUCAGCUUUGCAUGGAAAUAAGAUGAGAUGAUUUGCAGUCAAGAAUGCUAUAGUGAUACAAUUAGAUGUGUCUGCAUAACUCUCCCUCUUGUUUUCCUAAUGGAGCAGCAGACUCGUGAUCAUGACUAAACUUCAGUAGAAGCUCUGUAAAUCUACCCUUUAUUGGGUAGUCACGUUUCAGUCAAAACAAAGUUUACUGUUCCAGAAAUCAUUCAUUCUAAACUUUAAACACCAGUAAUAAAGGAAUUGAAGUUUAGUUUUAUUCAGGGUGCUUUCCUAAAUAUUAUUCAUUCGACAAGAAGGAAUUCGAUGGGAGCACACAACAGUUGCUUAAUGACUAAAAAAAUCCUGAACUACUCUGCCCUGUGUCCCUUGUUACCUGGCUUGCAAUGAAGGAGGACAUCCUUGAUAGCAACACCUUCAUCACUGGAAAAAACAAGAAAAGAAAAGUCAUUUCCAUAAACAAUUUACUUCAAGUAACUCAGGCAGACAGUUUGUCUGACCUUUCAUCAACCCUUUUUUCCUUACCAUCCUGUUGCUUUCCAACAUGUUGCAAGGUGCAGAUGGAAUCAGUCACUAAUUACUCUCUUAACACGCCCUCUGUUAUAAGCCUUAAAGAAUUUGUUAUCCAGCAGAGCAGUUCAGUUCCUUCUCCUUCCUCUCGAAAAGUAAAACAGAACCCAACCCCACACCCUCCCCAGAUCACACUCCCUCCCUUUUUCUGGGAUAGGGAGACUGUCUGUUAUCUUUUGAACAGCUGAAUUCUCCAACAAAGACUCCUGGCAUACAGCAGGUAAACCAACACAAAUUACUACACUGAGACCACUGUAUUCAACUAACCAGAGAAAACUGUUACCUUCUGGUUAAUCAAACCAGUAUGAAACUCAGAGAAUCUGGUUUAGAACCUUUGGAGUGGCUGCUGUUUUGCGAUGCGAGAGCACAAUUUUGCUACCCUGAAGAUUUAAGCUAAGGAAGUUUCGUACUAGACUGAAUUCUGUAUCAAGAAACUGGCAAAAGGAAAAAAAAAAAGAAACUUUGUUCAGAAAAGUACUGAUUUUAUUGACUCAAACUGUAUUUACACAACACAUUCAUAUGUUCAAUAUCUUACAGAACUCCGUAAAAAACUUGACCAAUAAAACUGCAGGAGCCAGUGCCAGACUGAACCAUGAGCACAUUUUAAGACACUUAAGUGGGCAAUCUAGUUUCACUGUCAAUUUACAUGACUCUUCUUUGUAAACAAUUCCUUUUAAAAAUCAAAAUGAAGGGUGGGGAGAAGAAGGAUCAGAUCAAAAAGCUGACAUUUCCGCAAUGCUACUUACACUUUGCAAGACCAGACUUUUGGCCAAGCAUUCAACAAUGCAUUGUUCUAUGAUUCUUUUUGGAAACAAAUCACAUACAUGUAUAUUUUAGGUGAAUAAUCAAAAUACUUUAUUAUUAUUAUUAUUUUUAAUAAGCCUACAUACAUUUGAAAAAAAAAAAAGAGAGACCAGUGCCAUGGAGUUUGUGCAUCAAUCUGAAUUGUUUCAGUGUUUGGGAGGUUCAGUUCUGGCAAUCCACUGCAGCUCAAAUCCAAUGUACGUUUCUUCAGCUGACAAAUGAAAGAUGAUCUUUUACCGGUGAACUGAUGAUACCACGUACUGGGAGUAGAAUAUCUUUGUCUCUUCACAAGACACCAUUCUUCCAUCCAUCUCUAAUACAGUUUGGUUGAAUAAAUAUUUGUUUUGGAGGUACAAACUAGGUGAGUUUAUUUCUCUUCCAGAGUGCAAGUCAGCAUCACCACACACAUGGCAGUUAAAAUGGCAUCCCUCCUCUGAUCUGCCUAACAACCUCUUCAUCUGUUGUCUCUUCUUUCUCUUUUUCACGUUUUUUGUUCCAGUCUUUAAGGCCUUCUGGCAGAGAAGUAUCCUCAUCCAAACUUCCUGUCCCUUCAACAAAUUCUUCGUAAGUGGACUUCUCUGCAAAUGGUCUUGGGCCAAGCAAGUCCACCAUAUCGCUUUUAUCAAGCACUUCCUUCUCCAGUAGUCGUAGGGCAACCUUCUCUACUUCUGCUUUCUUCUCAGUCAGAAGAGAUAACGUCCUGUCAUAAGCAAUGUUAAUAAGUGACCGAACUUCUUCAUCUAUCAUUCUGGCAGUUGCCUCACUAUAGGGUUUCUCUAAAACCAUGUCUCCUUGGCGAGGGAGGUCGAAGGAAAUCUGCCCAACUUUUUCAUUCAUACCAAACUGGACAAUCUGAGCAUAUGCACUCUGUGUCACCUUCUUCAAGUCAUCUUGAGCACCGGUUGUAAUUCUUCCAAAGAAGAUUUGCUCAGAUACACGUCCACCCAGUGUCAUGCACAUUCUGUCAAGUAGUUGCUCUUUGGUAUAAAGAUACUGUUCUUUGGGUAAAUACUGAGCAUAACCCAGUCCUUUACCACGAGGGAUAAUAGAUACCUUUAAGAGUGGGUCAGCAUGUUCCAAAAACCAUCCUGCAACUGCAUGCCCUGCCUCAUGAUAUGCUACUGUCUUUUUCUCCUCUGGUUGCAGAACUUGAGUUUUCUUUUCCAAACCUUUAUAAAAGAAAUGUCAUUAAUCCUUUCAGGCAUAUCUCUCUCCACCGGAAUCCCUUAUUUCCAUUUAGAAACACAGUCAGCAACACUUAGAUGCCAUAUACAUACUCUACUGAAGAAAUUAAAUAUAG
rnacentral:lncRNA from 1 species